UUUUUGUUUUGGUUCAUAAGCGUGAUGAUUGGGUAUUUGUGCCUUUGCAUCACAUGUGCUUCCCAUGAACCUUGUUACUUACAAAUACAAUUACAACUAUGAUU